rnacentral:rRNA from 1 species
GUCAACAGCCAUGUAGAACGUUACCCAGUCUCGUCAGCUCCCGGAAGUCAAGUUAGUCCGGGUACCGUUAGCACUUGGAUGGGUGACCGCUCGGGAAUACGGGAUGCUGUUGGCG